UACUAUCUGCUAUGCUAGUGCCAAGAUUCAAGCUAGACUGGGUACAAGAUGAGGAGAAACGUGUGCAGUACAGAUUGAUGCUGAAACGAGAAUUUCAAACCUUCAACUCUGAUGACUCAGAUGCAAGAGACUCAGGUCAAACCCUGUCCAGUGGUGAAAGUGACAAGAAAGAUCCUGCAGCUUCAUUCUUCAGAUUUGACAGAAACCCUCAGGUUUGUCGAAAAACUGAAGUGGACACUUAUCUGGAUGCCCCAACCACAGAUGGGUUUGAUGAAUACAUGCAGUUUCUAAAACUCAAAAGACUGUUCAUAAAACACAACACUGCACUGCCCUCAAGUGCCCCUGUAGAGAGGCUCUUCAGCAUCGGUGGUCAAAUAUUCAGGCCCAGGAGAAACCGGCUGGGAGAUGGCAACUUUGAAAAGCAGCUGAUCUUGAAUGCCAACAAAAAGAUUUGAAGGAAGCAAGAAACAGCAGAUCCACCAGGGAGAGACCAGCCCACUGUGACCAGUGAUAAAGGAUCUUCAUUCAGAUAAGGCAUUUUCAGGCUGGACAGAUAGUAACACUGUCUGUGGCCCUGCACACUUUUGGACUCCUUUUUAUUUUCACUAAUUGUUAUUAUUAUUUUAGUUAUUUAUGUGAACUGUAACCAGUGGUGACAAAUCUUCACUCAGCGUUUUCAAUCACACUGGACAGGAAGUUACAGCACUGUCCAUGGGCCUUGGACUGACUCUUUAAGUUAUUUAUUUUAUUUUUUUGCUUUUUUUACUGCACUUU